AGACCAACAUGUAUAUAUACUCGAGUACGGAUUCGAGUUUACAAAAAUGAACGACAACAGUCUCAGCAGAUCGCGUUGAAAGAACAAGCUCAACGUGGUCCCAAAUAGCAGAACACCGUCUCAGCAGUCUUCCAGGCGAUCGAAGUCGCUGGCCAAUUUCGUACAACCGCCAUGGAAGGCAGCGAAAUCAGAGGAGUUCGUUGCCUUAAAAUGGCCGUCACGAACGGUUCGUAGAUACGAAGGCCCCAACAAUGGCGAUCUGUAGACGAUGACGAUGACGACGACUACGAUUCCGAGGUGGAGAUGCUGAGUAUUUCGUCGGGGGACGAGGAUUCGUCUAUGGAUCGAGGAUUCGGGUAGAAGAAUCGAGGAUUCGGGUAGAAGAAUCGAGGGGAGCCUGAUUGUUGGAAGCGAGUUGAUGAGUCUGAGGAUGAUUCAUUGUUUAAGGAGUGAGGCUAGUGGCUACAAAGUCAGAAGGUUCUUGCAGCUUCAAGAAAUUCAAGAAUCUGUUAGGCUUGCAUUUUUUAACUGUUUGCUGGAUUUUACUGGCAAAUUCUAUUAGAACAGCUGCCAUGAACUAUUUUCUGGAUGCUGGAGUCCAAUUGGGAGGAGCACCUCCAAUUAAAGGUGUUUGAGAUGCAGUUGUGGAGUUACUGCACACACUAGUUCCUGUGCAUGUAGAGGUACUUACCGUGUUGGCCUGGCAGAAUUAUCUUCGUGACUUGCGUUGCUAUACUUUUUCCAGAUUGCUCAUCUAUAUAUAUUACUUGCUACACUUCAAACUAUAAUUGUUUCCCAAAUGAUUACUGUAGAAGUUAUAACCAAUCAGAUUUUGUGGCAUUGUACAAUUUAGGUUCUUUUGCUUAAUCAAACUUGUGAAGUUCAAGCAAUUUCCUUGUUGUGGGUCUUUGCUGGUUGUAAACCCCUGCUCGACAAGGCACUUGGUAUUCUUGUGGAAGGUUUAAUUGAUACUUUCCUCAGCCUUUUCCAUGAAAACAAAAACAAAAGACCUGAGGUCAUUGGAUGCAAAUGGUUUCCAUUAGCUUAUGCUUGAGGUUAUUAUGAUGCUCCACUUUCCUUACUGAAUUCUUUUGAAUCUGAAUUGCUGAUGUUUUUGAAAAAACAUUUUGUGCUCCUAUAGCAUCUGCUAAUGUGAUAACAUUGUGCAUUACAAUGAAAAUGCAGCUUUUAGAUUUUGGGGGCUAGAUAGAUGAAAUUCUUUUAUUUAUUGCCUUUUAUUUUAGUUUAAACAUAAUAUUGUUUAUGAUGUAAUCAUCUUGCGUGUUCCCUUACCUGGAUUACAAAUAAAUUCAGUUACAUCUGUGUGUCAUUUAAACUAGAUUCUAUUUUUUUUUUUUUUUUUUUUUCC